rnacentral:tRNA from 1 species
GGAGGGAUGGCAGAGUGGUUGAAUGCACUAGUCUUGAAAACUAGCAGCCCUUCACGGGGCUCCAGGGUUCGAAUCCCUGUCCCUCCGCCA